UGACCCACUGUGCUUUGGUGGAGGACGGGCGGCGGGAGAUAGACUGGAUGACGGAACGGGCCCUAAAGCAUGGCUGUGAAUUGGGUACCAUUAAUGGACUCUUGAGAGAUGACAGAGACUGGAUCGGUUGGCGGUGCUGAUGGACAGGCGGAGGAUGGAGGGGCGCAUAUGAUGGACAUUGGCUCUAUCUCCUUAGGGUUUAGAGGGAAGCUUGAGAGGCUGUCCGGCUGUGGAGUGGUAUUCAAUAGAAGGAAUGCAUUGUUUGAUCGCAUUAGGAAUGAUAAGGACAGAAUCGUUGAUGAGUGUUGCCCUGGAGUAUGCCAGAUUCCGUUCUGCGACGGCGAAGCGGAC
rnacentral:lncRNA from 1 species